AGCAAUCAAAUAAAGAGUGUAUACAGCACACCCCAUCUUCACUCUAAUCAAAUAAAGAGGGUCAUAGGAUUUGGGACUGAGCUUCUCUUUUCUCAUUUCUUAUCCUCUGUUUGAAGUUUGAACCAUCCGUUGUAUUGUAUUCUCUCAGGGGCAUCACUGAAAUUGUUACUUCAAUGGCACCCUCAAGAGGUUUGAUGAUUUAAUAAAAAGUUCAAUGACAUGAGUGGAGUCGGAAAAGGUAUGUAAUUUACAUAUCUAGUUUCAAGUAAUAAAUUU